ACCAUGGAAGACCUGCGGGACAAGAGUCUUGGAGUCACCAUUGAGAACUCCAGGAUUGUCUUGCAGAUUGACAAU
rfam:Macaca mulatta chromosome 11, whole genome shotgun sequence.